rnacentral:rRNA from 1 species
UCAACUUUUGUUGCUGGAUGUGGACUUGGACUCUGUCGUGUYAYAACGACUGGUCUGAAAUGCCUGAGUGCACCCUGCUGUUGCAGCGUCUUCAGUGUGAUAAGCAUCUUCACUGAUUCAAGUUCCUUYGGGACACGUAGCAUUGUGGGCUCUGUGCUGACGAACCGUCUUUGGACAAUCUUUGACAAUUUGACCUCAAAUCGGGUGGGACUACCCGCUGAACUUAAGCAUAUCAAUAAGCGGAGGAAAAGAAACUAACAAGGAUUCCCCUAGUAACGGCGAGUGAAGAGGGAAAAGCUCAAAUUUUGAAUCUGGUGUCUUUGGCGCCCGAGUUGUAAUCUAGAGAAGUGUUUUCUGCCUCGGACCACACAUAAAUUCCCUGGAAUGGGGUGUCAUAGAGGGUGAGAAUCCYGUUUGUGGUGUGGACUACCUUGGCUCUGUGAUACACUCUCAACGAGUCGAGUUGUUUGGGAAUGCAGCUCAAAAUGGGUGGUAAAUUCCAUCUAAAGCUAAAUAUUGGCGAGAGACCGAUAGCGAACAAGUACCGUGAGGGAAAGAUGAAAAGCACUUUGGAAAGAGAGUGAAACAGUACGUGAAAUUGUUGAAAGGGAAGCGUUUGAAGUCAGUCACAUCGGUCGGAAUUCAGCCUGGCUUUGCCUGGUGUACUUUUUGGCAGAUGGGUCAGCGUCAAUUUUGACUGAGGGAAAAAGACUUGAGGAAUGUGGCUGUCUUCGGGCAGUGUUAUAGCCUCUUGUUGUAUGUCUCAGUUGGGAUUGAGGACCGCAGCACGCCUUAUGGCCGGGGUUCGCGCCCUCGGAACGUGCUUAGGACGCUGGCAUAAUGGCUUUAAGCGAC